rnacentral:rRNA from 1 species
GACGAACGCUGGCGGCGUGCUUAACACAUGCAAGUCGCACGGGGGUAGCAAUACUCAAGUGGCGGACGGGUGAGUAAUGCAUCGACAACCUGCCCCGCAGCGGGGGAUACCCGGCCGAAAGGCCGGCUAAUACCGCAUACGGUCACCGGGACAACGCCUGGUGAAGAAAGCAGCAAUGCACUGUGGGAGGGGUCGAUGUCCGAUUAGCUAGUUGGUGUGGUAACGGCGCACCAAGGCGACGAUCGGUAGCUGGUCUGAGAGGAUGAUCAGCCACACUGGAACUGAGACACGGUCCAGACUCCUACGGGAGGCAGCAGUGAGGAAUUUUCCGCAAUGGGGGAAACCCUGAUCCAGCCAUGCCGCGUGAACGAUGAAGGCCUUAGGGUUGUAAAGUUCUUUCAGCGGGGAAGAUAAUGACGGUACCCGCAGAAGAAGCCCCGGCUAACUCCGUGCCAGCCGCCGCAGUAA